UACAGAGGGUGCGAGCGUUAAUCGGAAUUACUGGGCGUAAAGGGUGCGUAGGUGGUUUAGUAAGUCAGCUGUGAAAUCCCCGGGCUCAACCUGGGAACUGCAGUUGAAACUAUUAAGCUAGAGUGCGGUAGAGGGAAGUGGAAUUUCCGGUGUAGCGGUGAAAUGCGUAGAUAUCGGAAGGAACAUCAGUGGCGAAGGCGACUUCCUGGACCAUAACUGACACUGAGGCACGAAAGCGUGGGGAGCAAACAGG
rnacentral:rRNA from 1 species